CACUGAAACACAGGUUCUCCUACGAUCGCCGAAGUUAAGCAACGUUGAGCCUAGUCAGUACCUAGAUGGGUAACCGUUUGGGAAUACCAUAUGCUGUAAG